rnacentral:lncRNA from 1 species
GUUGUGUCAGCAAGGUUUUUAAUAAUUUCGAUGUCACAGAAGAAUCAUGGUAAAAUGGGGAAACCACCAUUUUGCGAUCAAAUCUCCAAACCGUUAUUGCAUCUAUGUGGAAAAGAGAGCUUAAAGUGUGUCAGCAGCUAGCCUCCUUACAAGAAAAAGUAAUUCAUAUGGAUACACAGUAUUCAAAACAGCUGGAAGCAUUAAGACAGAAAUGAAGUUCAAAUGUUAAAACUUCUCAGAAAUUAGAUUUCGAGGAGUUACAUAACAAGUGCAAGAAGAUUGAACGAAAUGUGAAAGAGCAACACAAGAAUAAAAUACUUCCAACCUCAACUCAAGAAUCAUCAAACAAAAGAAAAUCCUAAACAGAUCUUCUUUGAAAUGGCUGAAUGUGAGGUGAACAUUCUAAAGUCAAAACAGGAAUUCAGACUGACUAUUAAACGUUUCCGUCUAAAAUCGACAGGCACUGAACAUAAUGUUUAAAGUUUGGUCUAACUACAUUAUUGCUAUGGUUGGGGAUUUGCAUUUCCUCAGUAGAAAUGUAACGCUACCGAUGCUGCAAUUCUGAUGGAAACGCUCAAAUUCAGCCUUCAGUCGUCCAUGUAUACAAUAACGGUUAUUGAUUGCUGAGUCAGAGAACAAUAUGUAAAAUCUGACAUUCUAGCCCUCGAAACCUCAGCUGACCAUAUGCUUCAACAAGAGUAUAACGCAAUUAUAAUUUUGAGGAGGUCCCAACUCAGUUUACGCCCGGUUUACGCAGAACAUGCCCCACUUUACGACCCAGCAAUCUUUACUUGUGGUCUUCCAGUUCAGGGAAUUUGUUAUGCUCUUAUGCAUGCAAUUACUCAACAAAGAAUUAGCAGUGUAUCGAUUACGUCCGGCGUAUGUUAGGGCGUAAGAUCGUGCUCGUGCUGGUAAGCGGCGAAAUCGAUUCCGCCGUUUGUGCUACCCUUCUCCAUAAAGCACUUCUACAGGGUGAGGACUCGUCGCGAGUGCAGACCAUCCAUAUCGAUAACGGUUUCCUGUGUAAAGAUGAAUCCGAGCAGGUCGUCACUAGUUUACAGCAACUCGGGCGCAAUCU